AGGAAGAACGCCUAGUGGUUAAUACCAUUAGGAAAGACAUCACUCGCAGAAGAAGCACCGGCUAACUCCGUGCCAGCAGCCGCGGUAAUACGGAGGGUGCAAGCGUUAAUCGGAAUUACUGGGCGUAAAGCGCGCGUAGGUGGCUUGAUAAGCCGGUUGUGAAAGCCCCGGGCUCAACCUGGGAACGGCAUCCGGAACUGUCAAGCUAGAGUGCAGGAGAGGAAGGUAGAAUUCCCGGUGUAGCGGUGAAAUGCGUAGAGAUCGGGAGGAAUACCAGUGGCGAAGGCGGCCUUCUGGACUGACACUGACACUGAGGUGCGAAAGCGUGGGUAGCAAACAGGAUUAGAUACCCUGGUAGUCCACGCCGUAAACGAUGUCGACCAGCCGUUGGGUGCCUAGCGCACUUUGUGGCGAAGUAACGCGAUAAGUCGACCGC
rnacentral:rRNA from 1 species